GAUACCCGAAUGGGGAAACCCAGUGUGAUUCGUCACACUAUCAUUAACUGAAUCCAUAGGUUAAUGAGGCGAACCGGGGGAACUGAAACAUCUAAGUACCCCGAGGAAAAGAAAUCAACCGAGAUUCCCCCAGUAGCGGCGAGCGAACGGGGAGGAGCCCAGAGCCUGAAUCAGCAUGUGUGUUAGUGGAAGCGUCUGGAAAGGCGCGCGAUACAGGGUGACAGCCCCGUACACAAAAGCGCAUGUGCUGUGAGCUCGAUGAGUAGGGCGGGACACGUGGUAUCCUGUCUGAAUAUGGGGGGACCAUCCUCCAAGGCUAAAUACUCCUGACUGACCGAUAGUGAACCAGUACCGUGAGGGAAAGGCGAAAAGAACCCCGGCGAGGGGAGUGAAAAAGAACCUGAAACCGUGUACGUACAAGCAGUGGGAGCACCCUUCGGGGUGUGACUGCGUACCUUUUGUAUAAUGGGUCAGCGACUUAUAUUCUGUAGCAAGGUUAACCGUAUAGGGGAGCCGGAGGGAAACCGAGUCUUAAUUGGGCGUUAAGUUGCAGGGUAUAGACCCGAAACCCGGUGAUCUAGCCAUGGGCAGGUUGAAGGUUGGGUAACACUAACUGGAGGACCGAACCGACUAAUGUUGAAAAAUUAGCGGAUGACCUGUGGCUGGGGGUGAAAGGCCAAUCAAACCGGGAGAUAGCUGGUUCUCCCCGAAAGCUAUUUAGGUAGCGCCUCGUGAAUUCAUCUCCGGGGGUAGAGCACUGUUUCGGCUAGGGGGCCAUCCCGGCUUACCAACCCGAUGCAAACUGCGAAUACCGGAGAAUGUUAUCACGGGAGACACACGGCGGGUGCUAACGUCCGUCGUGAAGAGGGAAACAACCCAGACCGCCAGCUAAGGUCCCAAAGUCAUGGUUAAGUGGGAAACGAUGUGGGAAGGCCCAGACAGCCAGGAUGUUGGCUUAGAAGCAGCCAUCAUUUAAAGAAAGCGUAAUAGCUCACUGGUCGAGUCGGCCUGCGCGGAAGAUGUAACGGGGCUAAACCAUGCACCGAAGCUGCGGCAGCGAACGUAUCACCCAAGACAACUUUACGGAGUUGACGAUUGACGGAGCGAAGCGACGUCAAAGCGUUCAUUAAAGUCGAGUUGGCUUAGGGAUACGUUCGUUGGGUAGGGGAGCGUUCUGUAAGCCUGUGAAGGUGUGUCGUGAGGCAUGCUGGAGGUAUCAGAAGUGCGAAUGCUGACAUAAGUAACGAUAAAGCGGGUGAAAAGCCCGCUCGCCGGAAGACCAAGGGUUCCUGUCCAACGUUAAUCGGGGCAGGGUGAGUCGACCCCUAAGGCGAGGCCGAAAGGCGUAGUCGAUGGGAAACGGGUUAAUAUUCCCGUACUUGGUGUUACUGCGAAGGGGGGACGGAGAAGGCUAUGUUGGCCGGGCGACGGUUGUCCCGGUUUAAGCGUGUAGGUGUGUGUUCCAGGUAAAUCCGGUUCACUUUAACACUGAGGCGUGACGACGAGGCACUACGGUGCUGAAGCAACAAAUGCCCUGCUUCCAGGAAAAGCCUCUAAGCAUCAGGUAACACGAAAUCGUACCCCAAACCGACACAGGUGGUCAGGUAGAGAAUACCAAGGCGCUUGAGAGAACUCGGGUGAAGGAACUAGGCAAAAUGGUGCCGUAACUUCGGGAGAAGGCACGCUGACACGUAGGUGAAGUGAUUUACUCAUGGAGCUGAAGUCAGUCGAAGAUACCAGCUGGCUGCAACUGUUUAUUAAAAACACAGCACUGUGCAAACACGAAAGUGGACGUAUACGGUGUGACGCCUGCCCGGUGCCGGAAGGUUAAUUGAUGGGGUCAGCGCAAGCGAAGCUCCUGAUCGAAGCCCCGGUAAACGGCGGCCGUAACUAUAACGGUCCUAAGGUAGCGAAAUUCCUUGUCGGGUAAGUUCCGACCUGCACGAAUGGCGUAAUGAUGGCCAGGCUGUCUCCACCCGAGACUCAGUGAAAUUGAACUCGCUGUGAAGAUGCAGUGUACCCGCGGCAAGACGGAAAGACCCCGUGAACCUUUACUAUAGCUUGACACUGAACAUUGAGCCUUGAUGUGUAGGAUAGGUGGGAGGCUUUGAAGUGUGGACGCCAGUCUGCAUGGAGCCGACCUUGAAAUACCACCCUUUAAUGUUUGAUGUUCUAACGUGGACCCGUAAUCCGGGUUGCGGACAGUGUCUGGUGGGUAGUUUGACUGGGGCGGUCUCCUCCUAAAGAGUAACGGAGGAGCACGAAGGUUGGCUAAUCCUGGUCGGACAUCAGGAGGUUAGUGCAAUGGCAUAAGCCAGCUUGACUGCGAGCGUGACGGCGCGAGCAGGUGCGAAAGCAGGUCAUAGUGAUCCGGUGGUUCUGAAUGGAAGGGCCAUCGCUCAACGGAUAAAAGGUACUCCGGGGAUAACAGGCUGAUACCGCCCAAGAGUUCAUAUCGACGGCGGUGUUUGGCACCUCGAUGUCGGCUCAUCACAUCCUGGGGCUGAAGUAGGUCCCAAGGGUAUGGCUGUUCGCCAUUUAAAGUGGUACGCGAGCUGGGUUUAGAACGUCGUGAGACAGUUCGGUCCCUAUCUGCCGUGGGCGCUGGAGAACUGAGGGGGGCUGCUCCUAGUACGAGAGGACCGGAGUGGACGCAUCACUGGUGUUCGGGUUGUCAUGCCAAUGGCACUGCCCGGUAGCUAAAUGCGGAAGAGAUAAGUGCUGAAAGCAUCUAAGCACGAAACUUGCCCCGA
rnacentral:rRNA from 1 species